GUGCACGCCCGAGCCCUUGAAUCCCAAACACACAUGUGAACCCACCGUAGGCCUUCGGGCCUAUGUCUUAUCAUAUAAUCCAAAUGUCUAAUAGAAUGUGAACCCAUUUUGUUGCCUUGAAAACGUAACGAAAGAAAACUAUACAACUUUCAACAACGGAUCUCUUGGCUCUCGCAUCGAUGAAGAACGCAGCGAAAUGCGAUAAGUAAUGUGAAUUGCAGAUUUUCAGUGAAUCAUCGAAUCUUUGAACGCACCUUGCGCCCCUUGGUAUUCCGAGGGGCAUGCCUGUUUGAGUGUCAUUAAAUCCUCAACCCCUCCGAUUCGUUUCGGUGGGGAUUGGACUUGGAGCGUGCUGGCGAAGGUCGGCUCCUCUUUAAAUGCAUCAGCGGAGAAAAUGCCUUUUGCGCCUCUGGCCGUUCAGCGUGAUAAUGACGUUGCGCUGCGGUCGAGCUUAAGGUCCGCUUCCAAAGAUCCUCACGGACGAUAUACAUAUGACUUUUGACCUCAAAUCAGGUAGGACUACCCGCUGAACUUAAGCAUAUCAAUAAGCGGAGGAAAAGAAACUAACAAGGAUUCCCCUAGUAACUGCGAGUGAAGCGGGAAAAGCUCAAAUUUAAAAUCUGGCAGUCUCCGGCCGUCCGAGUUGUAAUCUGGAGAAGCGUUUUCCGCGUC
rnacentral:rRNA from 1 species